CCAAUAGCGUAUAUUAAAGUUGUUGCAGUUAAAAAGCUCGUAGUUGAAUUUCGGGACCAAUUUGUUGGUCGUGCCUCGGUACGUACUAGUAUUAUUGGUUUCUCCCUUCUGAAGAACCUCGAUGUCAUUAAUUUGGUGUCGUGGGGAAUCAGGACUGUUACUUUGAAAAAAUUAGAGUGUUUAAAGCAGGCAUACGCUUGAAUACAUUAGCAUGGAAUAAUGAAAUAGGACGUUUGAUUCUAUUUUGUUGGUUUCUAGGAUCGACGUAAUGAUUAAUCGGGAUAGUUGGGGGCAUUAGUAUUCAAUUGUCAGCGGUGAAAUUCUUGGAUUUAUUGAAGACUAACUACUGCGAAAGCAUUUGCCAAGGAUGUUUUCAUUAAUCAAGAACGAAAGUUAGGGGAUCGAAGACGAUCAGAUACCGUCGUAGUCUUAACCAUAAACUAUGCCGACUAGGGAUCGGAUGAUGUUAAUUUUUUAAUGACUCAUUCGGCGCCUUACG
rnacentral:rRNA from 1 species